UAGGGAAUCUUCCGCAAUGGGCGAAAGCCUGACGGAGCAACGCCGCGUGAGUGAUGAAGGUCUUCGGAUCGUAAAACUCUGUUAUUAGGGAAGAACAAAUGUGUGAGUAACUAUGCACGUCUUGACGGUACCUAAUCAGAAAGCCACGGCUAACUACGUGCCAGCAGCCGCGGUAAUACGUAGGUGGCAAGCGUUAUCCGGAAUUAUUGGGCGUAAAGCGCGCGUAGGCGGUUUUUUAAGUCUGAUGUGAAAGCCCACGGCUCAACCGUGGAGGGUCAUUGGAAACUGGAAAACUUGAGUGCAGAAGAGGAAAGUGGAAUUCCAUGUGUAGCGGUGAAAUGCGCAGAGAUAUGGAGGAACACCAGUGGCGAAGGCGACUUUCUGGUCUGUAACUGACGCUGAUGUGCGAAAGCGUGGGGAUCAAACAGG
rnacentral:rRNA from 1 species